AGGUGAUCGGACGACAUAUGCUGAGGUGAAAGUGAAAUGGAAAUCUGAUACAUCUGACAGUACACACAAGACUACACAUAAAGGAAAAUUCACUAAGGAGGAUGUUCCUCUAAUGUAGCCAGAGCUCUUCCUCUCUCCUGUCUGCCCUGGGGGCUUCUUUCAAGAGAGCAAUAAUGCCAGAAAAGGCGGUGAUACUGCUGGUUUUGCUUAUGACUUCCCUGAUAUAAACACAAGGGGGAUCUGGUGGAUUUGAAUCUGGAAAACUAAGUGGGGAACUUAAUGGAGACCCAAGAGGGGACCGUACUAUACAAACAAACAUAAAAUUGGGCUGGGAUCCCAGGGGGCAACCACAUAGUGCAUUCGGCAUCUCUGAAGAAAAUAGAUGAAGUGAAUCUAAUACCAAUAUGUGAAUUCUUGGCAUGUUGCUCUUCUCCAAAAAAAUCACAGCCUGACCAUUUCUACUCUUGAUAGCUGCGCUCCUUAUAUUAAAUGGAGCUGCUCUGGAAGGCACUUUAUUGCUUUGAACCUUUUCAGUAGUGCAGAAAGACAGUAAGAGUUGGAAUCUGCUUCUACCUGAAACAAAUUGGAUGGGUCCGCUGAGAGGCAACGUACAAUUAUUAAAGCUGUAUCCCAAGAUUGUCCAUGGUACUGAGCAUGCUCCAAAGUAAGUUCUAUAUGUGAAUGAUGUAACAGCCAGAACACACAUUAAAAGUCAGUAGGAAAUUAAAGCAUUUACUGAGGCCUUCCAUUUUUGAGAGAGCACACAUCUAAUUCUUCUCCAACCUCUUUCACUUCCUGGCAUGAAAAGUACCAAAAAAUAGAUAAUUAAUUUUACAAUUUAAGAAUGAAGCAAUGCUGUUACCAGGAAUCUCACAGGAGUUCCUGAACACUUUGUAUUUCUGAACAUGACUAAUGGCGGACUAAAUCUUUCGGAAAUGUUUGUCCUCAAAGUCCAUUUCAGAGCCUUAUAUAUCUGA